CAACACCGAGGACAGGCAGGGGAAGGCGGCGGCGGCGGCGGCAGCGGCGGCGGCGGCGGCGGCGGCGGCCGGGGCGUGGAUGCCGGGGUACAGCAGUGGGAACGGGGCGGCGGCCGCCGCCGGGUACAGACAUGGACAACUAGUAACACUGUGUCCCCCAAAGCUCUUCAUAUAACUGAAGAAAGUACAACUGCCCCUCAACAUUCUGGUCUCUAAAGGAAACAGCUCCCCAACAUCACUCAUCUAUCUCCAGGGGAUAUAAUUUUUUUUUUUUCUUCAGCAUGCUAUGGCAACCUAAGGAACGCAACAGUUCAAUGAAGCUCAAACUCCGUGGUGGCACCACAGGAGGUUGGAUCAGAUGACCUCUCCUACAGUCUUGUCACUCUAAGUUACCGGCCAGACAUCAUAAACUGCAAGAGUGGUUCUUUGGCCUAAGUCUCUUGAUAAUUAUGGGAUCCAGGAUGGGAACGCUGACUAUUGAAAUGCCUGAAUGCAGAAAUUUAACAACCAAGAGCUAUCGUUGAAGGUAACCAUCAGAAUUACCAGCAAGGACUUGACCGAUGGCGCAUCAUUUGACCCAGAAAUCCCUGGGUGAUAGAGCAAACUGUAGGCCAGCUGGCCACAUCCAGCCUGCUGCCAACUUUUGUGCAGCUUGUGGACUAAAGAUGGUUUUACAUGUUUCACAUGGUUGAAACCAAAUCAAAAGAGAACAGCAUUCACGACCCUCUGAAAACGAAAUACGUUCAGAU